CGUUUUUGCGGCGGAGCCUUAAAAAUGCAGUCGAGCGGAUGAGAGAGCUUGCUCUCUGAUUCAGCGGCGGACGGGUGAGUAAUGCCUAGGAAUCUGCCUGAUAGUGGGGGACAACGUUUCGAAAGGAACGCUAAUACCGCAUACGUCCUACGGGAGAAAGCAGGGGACCUUCGGGCCUUGCGCUAUCAGAUGAGCCUAGGUCGGAUUAGCUAGUUGGUGAGGUAACGGCUCACCAAGGCGACGAUCCGUAACUGGUCUGAGAGGAUGAUCAGUCACACUGGAACUGAGACACGGUCCAGACUCCUACGGGAGGCAGCAGUGGGGAAUAUUGGACAAUGGGCGAAAGCCUGAUCCAGCCAUGCCGCGUGUGUGAAGAAGGUCUUCGGAUUGUAAAGCACUUUAAGUUGGGAGGAAGGGCAUUAACCUAAUACGUUAGUGUUUUGACGUUACCGACAGAAUAAGCACCGGCUAACUUCGUGCCAGCAGCCGCGGUAAUACGAAGGGUGCAAGCGUUAAUCGGAAUUACUGGGCGUAAAGCGCGCGUAGGUGGUUUGUUAAGUUGAAUGUGAAAGCCCCGGGCUCAACCUGGGAACUGCAUCCAAAACUGGCAAGCUAGAGUAUGGCAGAGGGUGGUGGAAUUUCCUGUGUAGCGGUGAAAUGCGUAGAUAUAGGAAGGAACACCAGUGGCGAAGGCGACCACCUGGGCUAAUACUGACACUGAGGUGCGAAAGCGUGGGGAGCAAACAGGAUUAGAUACCCUGGUAGUCCACGCCGUAAACGAUGUCGACUAGCCGUUGGGAUCCUUGAGAUCUUAGUGGCGCAGCUAACGCAUUAAGUCGACCGCCUGGGGGAGUACGGCCGCAAGGUUAAAACUCAAAUGAAUUGACGGGGGCCCCGCAUCAAGCCGUGGGAGCAUGUGGCUUUAAUUUCGAAAGCCAACUGCGAAGAAUCUUACCAGGGCCUUGGAACUUGCAGAAGAACUUUUUCUAGAGAUGGAAUUGUUGCCCUUCGGAAACCUCUGACACAGGUGCUGCAAUGGGCUGGUCGUCCAGCUCGUGGUCCGUGGAAGAAUUGCUGGG
rnacentral:rRNA from 1 species